rnacentral:rRNA from 1 species
CAGCAGCCGCGGGAAUACGUAGGUGGCAAGCGUUGUCCGGAAUUAUUGGGCGUAAAGGGCUCGCAGGCGGUUUCUUAAGUCUGAUGUGAAAGCCCCCGGCUCAACCGGGGAGGGUCAUUGGAAACUGGGAAACUUGAGUGCAGAAGAGGAGAGUGGAAUUCCACGUGUAGCGGUGAAAUGCGUAGAGAUGUGGAGGAACAUCAGUGGCGAAGGCGACUCUCUGGUCUGUAACUGACGCUGAGGAGCGAAAGCGUGGGGAGCGAACAGGAUUAGAGACCCCAGUAGUCCCUGUCUCUUAUAC